GACGAACGCUGGCGGCGUGCUUAACACAUGCAAGUCGAACGGAAAUGCCCUGCUUUUGUGUGGUGCUCGAGUGGCGAACGGGUGAGUAACACGUGAGUAACCUGCCCUUGACUUUGGGAUAACUUCAGGAAACGGGGGCUAAUACCGGAUAGGAGCUCCUGCUGCAUGGUGGUGGUUGGAAAGUUUCGGCGGUUGGGGAUGGACUCGCGGCUUAUCAGCUUGUUGGUGGGGUAGUGGCUUACCAAGGCUUUGACGGGUAGCCGGCCUGAGAGGGUGACCGGCCACAUUGGGACUGCGAUACGGACCAGAAUCCUAUGGGAGGCAGCAGUGGGGAAUAUUGCACAAUGGGCGGAAGCCUGAUGAAGAAACGCCGCGUGCGGGAUGACGGCCUUCGGGUUGUAAAACGCUUUCGCCUGUGACGAAGAGUGAGUGACGGUAAUGGGUAAAGAAGCAACGGCUAACUACGUG
rnacentral:rRNA from 1 species